rnacentral:tRNA from 1 species
UGGUAAGAGUAGUCUCUCUACGUAUGCAAGGCUACAACCUGCCGCUUAUCCUCAGCCAUCUUACC